AACGAACGCUGGCGGCAGGCCUAACACAUGCAAGUCGAGCGAGACCUUCGGGUCUAGCGGCGGACGGGUGAGUAACGCGUGGGAACGUGCCCUUUUCUACGGAAUAGCCUCGGGAAACUGAGCGUAAUACCGUAUACGCCCUUUGGGGGAAAGAUUUAUCGGAGAAGGAUCGGCCCGCGUUGGAUUAGGUAGUUGGUGGGGUAAUGGCCUACCAAGCCUACGAUCCAUAGCUGGUUUGAGAGGAUGAUCAGCCACACUGGGACUGAGACACGGCCCAGACUCCUACGGGAGGCAGCAGUGGGGGAUCUUAGACAAUGGGGGCAACCCUGAUCUAGCCAUGCCGCGUGAGUGAUGAAGGCCUUAGGGUUGUAAAGCUCUUUCAGCUGGGAAGAUAAUGACGGUACCAGCAGAAGAAGCCCCGGCUAACUCCGUG
rnacentral:rRNA from 1 species